GAUGAACGCUGGCGGCGUGCUUAACACAUGCAAGUCGAACGGAAAGGCCCAAGCUUGCUUGGGUACUCGAGUGGCGAACGGGUGAGUAACACGUGGGUGAUCUGCCCUGCACUUCGGGAUAAGCCUGGGAAACUGGGUCUAAUACCGGAUAGGACCACAUUUUGGAUGGUGGGGGGGAAAGUUUUUCGGGUUGGGAUGAGCGCGCGGCCUAUCAGCUUGUUGGUGGGGGAAUUGCCUACCAAGGAGUCGACGGGUAGCCGGCCGGAGGGGGUGGACGGCCACCUUGGGGCUUAGAUACGGCCCAGACUCCUACGGGGGGCCGCCGUUGGGAAUUUUGCCCCAUUGGCGCAAGCCUUAUUCAGCGACGCCGCGUGGGGGAUGACCGCCUUCGGGUUGUAAACUCCUUUCGCUCUGUACGAAGCGUUAUGUGACGGUACCUGGAGAAGAAGCACCGGCUAACUACGUG
rnacentral:rRNA from 1 species